rnacentral:rRNA from 1 species
UUGCUCUUCAACGAGGAAUCCCUUGUAAGCGUGAGUCAUCAGCUCGCGUUGAAUACGUCCCUGCCCUUUGUACACACCGCCCGUCGCUACUACCGAUUGAAUGUAUCAGUGAGGCCUUGGGAUUGGAGUCGCGGAGCCGGCAACGGCACCAUGGCGCUGAGAACUUGGUCAAACUCGUAUGUUUAGAGGAAGUAAAAGUCGUAACAAGGUUUCCGUAGGUGAACCUGCGGAAGGAUCAUUACUGAGUUUUGAAGUGGGCUUGAUGCUGGCAUCUUUUUGAUGCAUGUGCUCAGCCCCGCUCUCAAAUCCACUCAACACCUGUGCACUUUCAAAGUUGUAGUCCUCCGUAAUGGGAGUCGCAAGUCUUUUUUGACUUGCUGGGACUGCGCUUUGCCAUUUAUCACAAACGAUAUUCAUUGUUUUGUAGAAUGUCUAGCCUCAUUGUAGGUGAAACUUAAUACAACUUUCAACAACGGAUCUCUUGGCUCUCGCAUCGAUGAAGAACGCAGCGAAAUGCGAUAAGUAAUGUGAAUUGCAGAAUUCAGUGAAUCAUCGAAUCUUUGAACGCACCUUGCGCUCCUUGGUAUUCCGAGGAGCAUGCCUGUUUGAGUGUCGUGAAAUUAUCAACUCCUAUUCUUUAUUGAAUGGUGAGCUUGGAUUUGGAGAUUGCUGGUGAAAAUCGGCUUCUCUUGAAUGAAUUAGCUGGAAUUUGAUUCGCAGCAUAUAUGCGGUGUGAUAAUGUCGUCACUGUGUAGCUCGGAUUGUCUGGCUUCUAAUCGUCUUUCAUGGACAAUUUGAUCAUUUUGACCUCAAAUCAGGUAGGACUACCCGCUGAACUUAAGCAUAUCAAUAAGCGGAGGA